AACGAACGCUGGCGGCAUGCCUAACACAUGCAAGUCAAACGAGACCUUCGGGUCUAGUGGCGCACGGGUGCGUAACGCGUGGGAACCUGCCCUUAGGUUCGGAAUAACUCCCCGAAAGGGGUGCUAAUACCGGAUAAUGUCUUCGGACCAAAGAUUUAUCGCCUUUGGAUGGGCCCGCGUUGGAUUAGCUAGUUGGUAGGGUAAAAGCCUACCAAGGCGACGAUCCAUAGCUGGUCUGAGAGGAUGAUCAGCCACACUGGGACUGAGACACGGCCCAGACUCCUACGGGAGGCAGCAGUGGGGAAUAUUGGACAAUGGGCGAAAGCCUGAUCCAGCAAUGCCGCGUGAGUGAUGAGGGCCUUAGGGUUGUAAAGCUCUUUUACCCGGGAUGAUAAUGACAGUACCGGGAGAAUAAGCUCCGGCUAACUCCGUG
rnacentral:rRNA from 1 species